rnacentral:rRNA from 1 species
CCUACGGGUGGCAGCAGUGGGGAAUAUUGCACAAUGGGGGGAACCCUGAUGCAGCAACGCCGCGUGGGUGAAGAAGUACUCCGGUAUGUAAAGCCCUGUCAGCAGGGAAGAAAAUGACGGUACCUGACCAAGAAGCCCCGGCUAACUACGUGCCAGCAGCCGCGGUAAUACGUAGGGGGCAAGCGUUAUCCGGAUUUACUGGGUGUAAAGGGAGUGUAGACGGCAAGGCAAGUCUGGAGUGAAAGCCCGGGGCCCAACCACGGGACUGCUUUGGAAACUGUGUUGCUGGAGUGCAGGAGGGGUAAGCGGAAUUCCUAGUGUAGCGGUGAAAUGCGUAGAUAUUAGGAGGAACACCGGUGGCGAAGGCGGCUUACUGGACUGUAACUGACGUUGAGGCUCGAAGGCGUGGGGAGCAAACAGGAUUAGAUACCCUUGUAGUC